UGUGAAAAAUAAAAUUCCCAGAAUAAAGCUCAUUUGGGAUUUAUUUUCAGAAUUAAUGAAGAAAAUGACAAAUUAAAGCAGUGUCAUGAAAAAGAUAAAGUAGAUUUUGUUAUUUGGUACAUUUGAUAAAUAUGUGUGUUUAUUUUUCUUUUGAGACCUAAAUGAUAAUUUUAUUGUAAAAUAAGCAUAUGAUGCAAAAAGGACGAAUUAAUGCUUAUCUUUCUAAAUUAGUGAAUACAAUUUUAGAUUGGGGGGUAAAAUGUCACAGUGGAAGUGAGAUUGUAUUCACUUAUUUUGUUUCUAUGGAUACAGGAGGAAAGUAGAAGUGCCAUCGUGUGGUGUUGUAUAGGGGUGUGUGUGAAGAUGAGUAAUAGGAGAUAAAGAAGAGAUUAAAUUUCGAGUGUGAAAGGGUCUUCACAUUAUGACAUGUGUGCACUAGGUGUGACCAAGGUUAAUCUUUAUAGUGUGAAAGUGUUUGUCUACAAUAUUGGAGCUAGUUUGAAUACAUACCUCAUUUCUUUCAGCCGAGGAAAGGCUUUUCAAAGUAAAUUCUUAGUUUUAUUCAGCCCAGGAUGGGCAUUGUUUGAAGGAAAUAUCCAGGUGGUUAAAUACAAAUUAAAUUUAAUCAUGCUCCUUGCACUGGGCAAGUAGUAAGGAUUUUUGAGACAGACACACCUAGCCUAUAGAGGAGACAGGUACCUUUUCCAAGGGCCUCUUUGACUUUUUUUCGACAUGAGUUUCUCUACAUGAGUUAUUAAUUUCAAGAGUUUAUUUUCAAGUGAUUUCAAGGCAAAAGGAAAGACCUGCAAUUAUUGUAAUGACAGGCAAAUUCUUCAUUACGAUGAAUUUUCUCAAGCAUUUAUAAAGAGCACCAACGAUGGCACGUAGUCUGGGGCAGGAGACACACCCCAUCCAACUCUGAUCCAACUACCAGUAAACUCAGCACUCAGGAGUCAUGUACGAUCAUCACGACACAGCUUCGUCUUAACUACAUAAAGGAUUCUCAACGUCAAAUCUUCAAGCGGUGACGUAUGACAUUUGAUCAAUUGAGAGAGUGACACAACUAUGAAACAUUUGGAACGAUUUUGAGCGGUGUCAUUUUGAGAGACUAUAAAUCCAUCUUAGUUUGUGAGAGUUAUAAUGCGGUUCGUUUUUCAAGUUUAAAAAGGUUCAUUUCAUAAAUCAGUUUAUUGUUAUAUAUUUUUUUUAGGUUUGUACUCUGGUAUAUUAUAAAGUAAUAGAAGAAUAGUAAAACAAACUUUGGAUUGAUGUUUGUUUGUAACCUGGUGUAUUGAGAAGAAAAGGAUAGCAAGACAAGACUUAUGAAUAAUUAAAUACAUCAGUAUUGGUGAUAGAACAUA